AUUCCAUAGUGUUCUUCAUAAAAGUCUGGUCCUUAUGAAUAAUAUGAAAGAGUUGUAUGUAGAAUGUUGAUUAACCAACUAUCAAAAUCCAUGUUCUAGGAGGGGAAUGCCUUUGAUAAGAUCUUGACCAACCCCACGAUAAAUGAGAUAAUCUAGGGCCUAACACUGCCAUUUUAAAAAAUAAUUUUGUUGGAUGGACCCUAAGUGUUCCAUAUCCUAUGAUUCACACUUGUUGAUAGGAAGGAAGACUGAGGCUUUGCAGAGUGUCUCAAAAGCAUAGAGGAAAAUUUUCCCAAAGUCCAUGGCCUUGAUCAUGCCUAUAAUUGAGGGUCAUUCGAUCAUGUCAUAAGAUUUCCCAAAAAUCAAUCUCAAUGAAGAGGGUGUUGAAAUCAAGGAAACAUUUGAGGGCAUUCCAUAACUUUUUCCCCUUCAAGCAAUAUUACAGACAACAUGCACUCCUUUUCCUCCUUUGCAUCAAUCAUGUGAAAAUCCCUACAAACUAACGAAUGGAUUUCCAAUGAUUUGUCGAUAAUCCAUUUCUAUAAAAGGGCACAUUCAUCAUUAGACACAUAGAUGUUGGAUAAACCCAACAACCUUCCAUCCAGAGUCAACAAAAUUGAAACCCAUUUUUGAGAGUUGUUGGUGCCUCAUCCUAUAACUGAUGACAAUGUUAGGAAAUCUAGAGACGUUGUCAAGGGGCUUAGGAAGAGUUAUUUUUUAUUUUUAAUAGCUUUCCCACCCUGAAAUCGGCUCAAUCAGAGAUAGGGUCCAACAGUUGGAAUAACAUCGCACGUAUUGCGAUGUCCGGUGUGCCCUCGACAGCCCUUGAAAAUAUGGAGGAUCAAGUAUUGUCCAUGACCGGUCAUACUCAUAACUACAUCAGGUCUCUAAGGUGAACAACCUAUGGUCAAUAGAAUAUUGUAGGUAAGGAAAGUCAGCAAAACGGAUCCGUAACUUCUGGAAAAGGAUUGGCUCUGAGGGUUGGGCCUAGGGGUCUGCGUCCUCAACCCGUGGGUUGUCGACAGUCUUCCUGAGCUACUAUCACGGUGAAGGUGGGUAUUCAUGUGCGAAUUGGACUACGGACGUAGGAUGUUCCCUUGCAGGGGAUUUUCCCUAGGCAGCGAAACAAAUGGUGGAAAUCCCCACAGGGAGAAACACUGAUUUUUGUGGACUGUUGGAUCUAGUAUAUCUGCGGGGAGGAUAAGGGCGAGAGU
rnacentral:ncRNA from 1 species